GAAAUGCGAUAAGUAAUGUGAAUUGCAGAAUUCAGUGAAUCAUCGAAUCUUUGAACGCAGCUUGCGCUCCUUGGUAUUCCUUGGAGCAUGCCUGUUUGAGUAUCAUGUAAUCUUCAAAGUAAAUCUUUUGUUAACUCAAUUGGUUUCUACUUUGGUAUUGGAGGUCUUUGCAGCUUCACACCUGCUCCUCUUUGUUCAUUAGCUGGAUCUCAGUGUUAUGCUUGGUUCCACUCGGCGUGAUAAGUUAUCUAUCGCUGAGGACACUGUAAAAGGUGGCCAAGGUAAAUGCAGAUGAACCGCUUCUAAUAGUCCAUUGACUUGGACAAUACUUUUAUGAUCUGAUCUCAAAUCAGGUAGGACUACCCGCUGAACUUAAGC
rnacentral:misc_RNA from 1 species